rnacentral:rRNA from 1 species
UGGGGAAUAUUGCACAAUGGGCGCAAGCCUGAUGCAGCCAUGCCGCGUGUAUGAAGAAGGCCUUCGGGUUGUAAAGUACUUUCAGCGAGGAGGAAGGCGAUAAGGUUAAUAACCUUGUCGAUUGACGUUACUCGCAGAAGAAGCAUCUGCUAACUCCGUGCCAGCAGCCGCGGUAAUACGGAGGGUGCUAGCGUCAAUCGGAAUUACUGGGCGUAAAGCGCACGCAGGCGGUCUGUUAAGUCAGAUGUGAAAUCCCCGGGCUCAACCUGGGAACUGCAUUUGAAACUGGCAGGCUUGAGUCUUGUAGAGGGGGGUAGAGUUCCAGGUGUAGCGGUGAAAUGCGUAGAAAUCUGGAGAAAUACCGGUGGCGAAGGCGGCCCCCUGGACAAAGACUGACGCUCAGGUGCGAAAGCGUGGGGGGCAAACA